GCUGCCAGCCAUGGUGGCGAACGGAUCCUCCUCCUCCUCCUCCGGCGUCGAUGUCCUCGUCGGCGAGCGGCCCGACCAGAUCUCCACGUCGGCCUUCUGCGGCGCCAACUCGUCGGCGGCGCCGGAGUACUCCGACUGCGGCGCCUGUGUCGAAACAUGAUUUCGGCAAUAAUAAAAGGGGGUAGCGCACGAGACCUAAAAGUGGAUGGAUGCGGAGACAAAGGAUUUAGACAGGUUCAGGCCCUCUCAAUGAGAGGUAAUACCCUACUCCUGUUUGGGGGUUUGAAUCCGCCGGGUGUGUAUUGAUCUGACGAUCAGGUUAUGUCAUAUCUGCCCCCUAGAGGGCCUCCUGCCCACCUUAUAUAGGAUGGGGGGCAGGAUUACAAGAUAGAAACCUUAACCAAUACGGUAUCGGUUUCCUAAAUCAGGACUUUAGGCCGUUCCGUAAUAUACAAGGAAACGUAACACCCAAGUCAUGAUCUGUUACAUAUUACAUAGAUAUAAGUUAUCCCCUAUAACUAGUCGGAUAACCAUGCCCUGUGGGUAUGGGGUACCCAUAAUAUCCACAGUAGCCCCUGAGACCUUCGCAGUCGAAAAGAUAAUCUUCUCUCGAACCAGAUUACUCCAAAGCCGAGUGCUUCAAUCAUCUUUGUCAUGGUCUCCCGAGUACUUUUACCAAAUCUGAAGACUGUGGAGGGCUGAAAAAUAAAGUCAGGUGCAUCGAAUAGAUGCACCUAAUAGGUGUAGCCCCCCGACAAUGUGGUUAAUUGAACAAACCAAGCAUAUAGUCAAGGAAUAAAUAAUCCAACCAACCAAGUGGUUUUGAUAAUCGUAAUCAACCAAGUGACUUGAUAUCAAUAUAUAGUAUAUGCGGUGUGAAUCCUCCAAAUAACAUGAUCCGAGUGAUAUACCAAAAUAGCUAUAAAAAAGCUCGUAUAUUGUGAAUAAAGAAAUUUCCAAAGUAUUGGGCAUACGCCAUGCGCACACUGCUUUAACAGAUGUGCUUAAGUCCCUAGAAGACACAUGGUUUCACCACACCUGGAAAUAUAUGGCAUAUGUGGUGUAAAAUCCGAGUAAAUAAACUCAUAAAGGAUUUACCAACCGCCUAGAAAAAUGACCAUAAUAUAUAAUCAGCCUAAGCCAUAAUAUUGGUCAAUAAAAAUGCACACUUACGUGGCAAAAAGCAAUGAUAUUAUAUCCAAUCAAUUGCUUGAUAAACCCAAACAGCACCUUGACUAUAUAAAAAAGUCAGCGGGGCAGCUAUGUAAAGCUUUACUGUUUGACACAUUUUAAGAUGCAUCGUACCAACUCCUAAAAAGUCGAGUAACUGCGGUAUAAAAGGAUUUUAAGGUAUUGGGCACUUGAUCACGCGCACUUUGGCCUAAGCGAAAAGUGCCUAAGUCCCUAAAAGAACGUGACAGGCCACACCUGAAAAUAUGGGCUGCAGACAUAUUAGGCCUAGGCCAAAACAUAUGCCUUCGACACCCUUUAAAGGAUGACGCAUAUAACAUGCUCCCGAGUAAUAAAUCUUCCGGGUAAUAUAGAUCAAGCGUAGCUCAUAUGAAUAGCUUCUGAUCUAAAUGAUUAUCCCUUAUGGGAUACUCCAAAAUAAAUAUAAUAAUUGAAUCCCGACUGGCGCAAGUAUUCGGUUGAUAGCCCUUACGGGGAAUAAUAAUUGGUCCAGUCUUUGAGCAUAGAAAAUAGACUCAUGACUAUGAAUCCAUGUGGAAUGUAUCCGGAACAAGUCCAAAUUGGAGAUAUAAUCCUCACGCUUGAGUUGAUGAGCCCCUGAGCAUAUAGCUUGUCCUUCUGUCAUAGUCAAAAUUGUUUAUUGGCAAUAGCUGACGCAGUCGGCAUGGAGAUGAAAUGACCAACAUGAAGACGAAAUUGCUCAUCAAAAGUAACGGAAGAUGUCAUUGGUAGUAAAAAACAGUGACACCAAUCAAAGAUAAUGAAGUUGCACAGCCGUGGAGGCGAAGAAACCAAUCGGCAGCAGACAAGUCAGCCAACAGUGAAGAUGAAGGCAUCCAGCAACAUCGACAAAAUUGAGCGGCCAUGGUGGCGAAAUAAUCAGUCGGUGACAGAUGAGGCAGCCGGUGAAGAAGAUGAAGAUGCCCAUUAGUGGCGACAUAAUAAGCCAUCCGUGAAGGCGAGGAUACCAGUCGGUGGUGACGAAAGCAAGCCGACGGUGAAGAUGUAGACACGUAUCAAAGGCAAUAACGAAAUCCACCAAUCAUGAAAAUGAAGAAAAUAGUCGACGACGACAAAGGCAACCGUCAGUAGCAACAGAGAUGAUCGACUAUGAUGACGAAAUUGCUCAUCAAACAGUAGUAGAGUGGGCAAUGUUGAAGAGGCUUGACAGUAUGUUGAUGAAGAUGACGAUGUUGGUGAUCCAGCCAAUAGCAGUGUAGCAACCAAUGAUAAUGACAAAGACGCUCAUCAGCAUUUGCAUAGUAGGUCAACCAUGAAGGUGAAAUAAUAAGUCGGCGAAAACAUAAUCAUCCAUUAGCAACAGCGGAGAUGUCAGGGCCGAUGAAGCAGAGGUGCUGGUGAUGAUGUCAGUGACAAUAAUCCAUCAAAUUAAUGUUAUAGCUGUUGUAGAUGCUUCACUUGGAGGAGAGUUGGUGUUGUUGUCCAACUCGUCCAAACCGAAAUAUUUGAAGUUGUUGAAGUAGAAUGUCUGCUCCGAAGCAAAGAUGAAGAUAAUGACUCCUGGAGUUGACUCGUUGGUUGAUGAAUUGAUUUCUUCAGCUUGACAUAAAAUUUGUCAAAUUUUGAGCCUUAUAUUUGUGUAGCCCCUGACUCUUUGAUUAGUUGGGAAACAACUGAACAUAGAGUCGAGAACUGUAGCUUCUUGUCGUCGAAUAGUCAUUGCUUGAUUGAAGAUAUGUGUUGAAGAUGUCCAAGUAGAAAUCCUGAAUAUUGGAGAGCCACUUGUUGUAGUAAAAUAACAUGGCAUUGCAUGCCGAGAUGUCGAGGUUCACAAAGACGUCGUGGUUGGUGAAGUAGUAAAACUUGCGAAGUAGCAACAAUAGAGUUUGCCGGUGCCGAAGAUAAUAAAGAUGAAGUCGCUCCACCAUGAUGACAAAGUUGUAUUGCCGUAAUGAAGUGAACACAAGUCGGCGGCAACAGAAGCAAACCGGUAGUGAAGACGCGCAGUUGUGAAGAUAAAAGCACAAGUCGGCGGCGGCAUAAUCAGUCGGCGACGGAAGAUGAUGAUGUCCAUCAGUAGUGGUAGCUGUAUAAACCAGACGUAGAGGUAAGGGCACUAAUCAGCAACAGACGAGACGACCGGCGAUUAAGAUGUAGAUGCCCAACAACGGCGGCAUAAUAGGCCAGCCGUGCAGACGGAAACACCAGUCGGCGGCGAUGGAGGCAGGCCGGUGGUGGAGUCGUAGACGCCCAACAACGACGGCAUAAUAGGCCAGCCGUGCAGACGGAAACACCAGUCGGCGGCGAUGGAGGCAGGCCGGUGGUGGAGUCGUAGACGCCCAACAACGACGGCAUAAUAGGCCAGCCGUGCAGACGGAAACACCAGUCGGCGGCGAUGGAGGCAGGCCGGUGGUGGAGUCGUAGACGCCCAACAACGACGGCAUAAUAGGCCAGCCGUGCAGACGGAAACACCAGUCGGCGGCGAUGGAGGCAGGCCGGUCGGUGAAGACGUAGACGCCCAUCAACGGUGGCAUAAUAGGCCAGCCGUGCAGGCGGAAACACCAGUCGGCGGCGGACGAGGCGGCCGGUCGGUGAAGAUGUAGACGCCCAACAACGGCGGCAUAAUAGGCCAGCCGUGCAGGCGGAAACACCAGUCGGCGGCGGUCGAGGCGGCCGGUCGGUGAAGACGUAGACGGUCAACAACGGCGGCAUAAUAAGCCAGCCGUGCAGGCGGUGACACCAGUCGGCGGCGGACGAGGCGGCCGGUCGGUGAAGACGUAGACGCCCAACAACGGUGGCAUAAUAGGCCAGCCGUGCAGGCGGAAACACCAGUCGGCGGCGGCGAAGGCAAGCCGGUCGGUAAAGACGUAGACGCCCAACAACGGUGGCAUAAUAGGCCAGCCGUGCAGGCGGAAACACCAGUCGGCGGCGGCGAAGGCAAGCCGGUCGGUGAAGACGUAGACGUCCAACAACGGCGGCAUAAUAGGCCAGCUGUGCAGGCGGAAACACCAGUCGGCGGCGGCGAAGGCAAGCCGGUCGGUGAAGACGUAGACGCCCAACAACGGCGGCAUAAUAGGCCAGCCGUGCAGGCGGUGACACCAGUCGGCGGCGGACGAGGCGGCCGGUCGGUGAAGACGUAGACGCCCAACAACGGCGGCAUAAUAGGCCAGCCGUGCAGGCGGAAGCACCAGUCGGCGGCGGACGAGGCGGCCGGUCGGUGAAGACGUAGACGCCCAACAACGGCGGCAUAAAGGCCAGCCGUGCAGGCGGAAACACCAGUCGGCGGCGGCGAAGGCAAGCCGGUCGGUGAAGACGUAGACGCCCAACAACGGCGGCAUAAUAGGCCAGCCGUGCAGGCGGAAGCACCAGUCGGCGGCGGACGAGGCGGCCGGUCGGUGAAGACGUAGACGCCCAACAACGGCGGCAUAAUAGGCCAGCCGUGCAGGCGGAAGCACCAGUCGGCGGCGGACGAGGCGGCCGGUCGGUGAAGACGUAGACGCCCAACAACGGCGGCAUAAAGGCCAGCCGUGCAGGCGGAAACACCAGUCGGCGGCGGCGAAGGCAAGCCGGUCGGUGAAGACGUAGACGCCCAACAACGGCGGCAUAAUAGGCCAACCGUGCAGGCGAAAACACCAGUCGGCGGCGGACGAGGCGGCCGGUGGUGAUGUUCUGACUGAUCCAUUCCUAGAGCGUAAGAGAUAAGCUUAAAGCCAUGAAUCCCUUUUAUGCAUAUCUGGAUCUGGAUCCUGCAGAACAAACAUAUAGGAUGAGUAGUAUCUGAUAUAAAUAUAAUACUCGAGAAAAAAUCAAGUAUUUUAAAAUAUUUAUAAAUAUGUAUUUCUCCUCUUGUCAAUUUUGAUUUCCCCGAGCAGAUGACUCAUUACGUUUAAACGCUCUGCCCAACUAGUCAUAGCCACCAAGCACUGGGAGUCGGCCUAAGCACUUCCCAAACAUGCAUAUGAGUGACAUGAGUUCGUCAUUAAUGGAACAAAGUUUCACGGAUCGGAGUUUACUACUCGGGUACUUUUGCAAUUAUUAAGAGCAGAAAAUAAAUUUAUCUCAUCUCUAUGCUUUUGAUUUAUUCCGAAUAAUACUUAGCACCUUGCGUUACUCGGUCCAUCCAACGAGCCCCCGGGUGCUAGGAAUCGGCCCAAAGGCAACCAUCCAUUGGCAAACCAAACGGAAAGCAUAGGAAGAUAGAACUCCAUAACUCGAUAGGUACUUUUGUACUCAGAUUAUGUCGCAAGCAAUCAAGAUAAAUAUUAUAAAAAAUAUGAUAUAACAUCUGUAGCCCCCGACUCACUACUCAAUGGAAGACCAAUUGGUGUAGUGAGGCAGAGGAAAAGGAAAAAUAUCAUAUAAAGAAUAAAAUAAAUGAUGACUUAGCUUUGUAAUAUUCCCCUUGGUGAUGGCAGAAGUGGCCAAUGUGGGAACAAAGUCGUCCAUCAAUAACAAUGAAGACACCAGUCGGCGGCGACGAAGGCGGUCGACGGUGAAAGCGAAGACGCCCAACAGCGGCGGCAUAAUAGGCCAGCCGUGUAGGCGGAGGCACCAGUCGGCGGCGAUGGAGGCAGGCCGGCGGUGAAGAUGACGAUGCCCAUCAACGGUGGUGUGACCAACCGACCGUAUAGGCGGGGACACCAGUCGGCGGCGACGGAGGCAGGCCGGUGGUGAAGUCGUAGACGCCCAACAGCGGCGGCAUAAUAGGCCAGCCGUGUAGGCGGAGGCACCAGUCGGCGGCGACGGAGGCAGGCCGGCGGUGAAGUCGUAGACGCCCAACAGCGGCGGCAUAAUAGGCCAGCCGUGUAGGCGGAGGCACCAAUCGGCGGCGACGGAGGCAAGCCGGCGGUGAAGUCGUAGACGCCCAACAGCGGCGGCAUAAUAGGCCAGCCGUGUAGGCGGAGGCACCAAUCGGCGGCGACGGAGGCAGGCCGGCGGUGAAGUCGUAGACGCCCAACAGCGGCGGCAUAAUAGGCCAGCCGUGUAGGCGGAGGCACCAAUCGGCGGCGACGGAGGCAAGCCGGCGGUGAAGUCGUAGACGCCCAACAGCGGCGGCAUAAUAGGCCAGCCGUGUAGGCGGAGGCAUGGACGCCCAUGAACGGUGGUGUGACCAACCAACCGUAUAGGCGAGGACACCAGUCGGCGGCGACGGAGGCAGGCCGGCGGUGAAAGCGUAGACGCCCAACAGCAGCAGCAUAAUAGGCUAGCCGUGUAGGCGGAGGCACCACUCGGCGGCGACGGAGGUAGGCCGGCGGUGAAGUCGUAGACGCCCAACAGCGGCGGCAUAAUAGGCCAGCCGUGUAGGCGGAGGCACCAAUCGGCGGCGACGGAGGCAAGCCGGCGGUGAAGUCGUAGACGCCCAACAGCGGCGGCAUAAUAGGCCAGCCGUGUAGGCGGAGGCACCAAUCGGCGGCGACGGAGGCAAGCCGGCGGUGAAGUCGUAGACGCCCAACAGCGGCGGCAUAAUAGGCCAGCCGUGUAGGCGGAGGCAUGGACGCCCAUGAACGGUGGUGUGACCAACCAACCGUAUAGGCGAGGACACCAGUCGGCGGCGACGGAGGCAGGCCGGCGGUGAAAGCGUAGACGCCCAACAGCAGCAGCAUAAUAGGCUAGCCGUGUAGGCGGAGGCACCACUCGGCGGCGACGGAGGUAGGCCGGCGGUGAAGUCGUAGACGCCCAACAGCGGCGGCAUAAUAGGCCAGCCGUGUAGGCGGAGGCACCAAUCGGCGGCGACGGAGGCAAGCCGGCGGUGAAGUCGUAGACGCCCAACAGCGGCGGCAUAAUAGGCCAGCCGUGUAGGCGGAGGCACCAAUCGGCGGCGACGGAGGCAGGCCGGCGGUGAAGUCGUAGACGCCCAACAGCGGCGGCAUAAUAGGCCAGCCGUGUAGGCGGAGGCACCAAUCGGCGGCGACGGAGGCAGGCCGGCGGUGAAGUCGUUGUUGUUAUCAGCAAUGGCGGUGGCGAAGACAAGCCGGCAGAGUGGACUCGCGGCCGAUCGACCGGAAAGCUGAGACGCCUCGAGUCUAUGACCAGCAUCAAUCGCCUCAAUAGUGCCGCGUAAUUAUAUGCGAACAACAACAAAAAAUAGCAAGAGAUUAAUCUGGGAUUAAAAAUCAGUACGAUAAAUAAUGAUAAAAAUCAGAUUGAGUUUCCCCCUGACUGAUUUGGAUCAAGUCAGAGAAGAGGAGCUUGAAGAAGUGGUCGACGGAAAGGAAGUGAAAACUCCCAAAGCGAAAACGAAGUCGGCGACUCAUGAAAUUGAUUCCAUCGCGCUUGUUGAUAGGAAACUCGACGCAACCCCUACCUGGCGCGCCAACUGUCGAAACAUGAUUUCGGCAAUAAUAAAAGGGGUAGCGCACGAGACCUAAAAGUGGAUGGAUGCGGAGACAAAGGAUUUAGACAGGUUCAGGCCCUCUCAAUGAGAGGUAAUACCCUACUCCUGUUUGGGGGUUUGAAUCCGCCGGGUGUGUAUUGAUCUGACGAUCAGGUUAUGUCAUAUCUGCCCCCUAGAGGGCCUCCUGCCCACCUUAUAUAGGAUGGGGGGCAGGAUUACAAGAUAGAAACCUUAACCAAUACGGUAUCGGUUUCCUAAAUCAGGACUUUAGGCCGUUCCGUAAUAUACAAGGAAACGUAACACCCAAGUCAUGAUCUGUUACAUAUUACAUAGAUAUAAGUUAUCCCCUAUAACUAGUCGGAUAACCAUGCCCUGUGGGUAUGGGGUACCCAUAAUAUCCACAGCCUGCGUCGCCAAGGCGCUCCGGUACGCGCGGCGGCUGUGCGGGUAUAGCAGGCGCGCCAUGGUCGACCUCGGCGCCUGCCGCGUCAGCUACCACGACGUCGGACGCGUGGAGCUGGAGAUACAAGCUUCAUUAGCCGU
rnacentral:lncRNA from 1 species